rnacentral:rRNA from 1 species
CAGCCGCCGCGGUAACACGUAGGUGGCAAGCGUUGUCCGGAAUUAUUGGGCGUAAAGGGCUCGCAGGCGGUUUCUUAAGUCUGAUGUGAAAGCCCCCGGCUCAACCGGGGAGGGUCAUUGGAAACUGGGAAACUUGAGUGCAGAAGAGGAGAGUGGAAUUCCACGUGUAGCGGUGAAAUGCGUAGAGAUGUGGAGGAACACCAGUGGCGAAGGCGACUCUCUGGUCUGUAACUGACGCUGAGGAGCGAAAGCGUGGGGAGCGAACAGGAUUAGAUACCCCCGUAGUCCCUGUCUCUUAUAC